rnacentral:rRNA from 1 species
GAUGAACGCUGGCGGCGUGCCUAAUACGUGCAAGUCGAGCGAACGGACGAGAAGCUUGCUUCUCUGAUGUUAGCGGCGGACGGGUGGGUAACACGUGGAUAACCUACCUAUAAGACUGGGAUAACUUCGGGAAACCGGAGCUAAUACCGGAUAAUAUUUUGAACCGCAUGGUUCAAAAGUGAAAGACGGUCUUGCUGUCACUUAUAGAUGGAUCCGCGCUGCAUUAGCUAGUUGGUAAGGUAACGGCUUACCAAGGCAACGAUGCAUAGCCGACCUGAGAGGGUGAUCGGCCACACUGGAACUGAGACACGGUCCAGACUCCUACGGGAGGCAGCAGUAGGGAAUCUUCCGCAAUGGGCGAAAGCCUGACGGAGCAACGCCGCGUGAGUGAUGAAGGUCUUCGGAUCGUAAAACUCUGUUAUUAGGGAAGAACAUAUGUGUAAGUAACUGUGCACAUCUUGACGGUACCUAAUCAGAAAGCCACGGCUAACUACGUG